CCAACGGCCCUUCUAAGGGCCACCACAAAGUCCUAAGAGCAAUAAA
rfam:Orchesella cincta Ocin01_Sc2310, whole genome shotgun sequence.